AUUGAACGCUGGCGGAAUGCUUUACACAUGCAAGUCGAACGGUAGAGGGGGCAACCCCUCGAGAGUGGCGAACGGGUGAGUAAUAUAUCGGAACGUGCCCAGUCGUGGGGGAUACCGUAGCGAAAGUUACGCUAAUACCGCAUACGAUCCAAGGAUGAAAGCGGGGGAUCGCAAGACCUCGCGCGAUUGGAGCGGCCGAUAUCAGAUUAGGUAGUGGGUGGGGUAAAGGCUCACCAAGCCAACGAUCUGUAGCUGGUCUGAGAGGACGACCAGCCACACUGGAACUGAGACACGGUCCAGACUCCUACGGGAGGCAGCAGUGGGGAAUUUUGGACAAUGGACGCAAGUCUGAUCCAGCCAUUCCGCGUGCAGGAUGAAGGCCCUCGGGUUGUAAACUGCUUUUGUACGGAACGAAAAGGUCUCUCUUAAUACGGGGGACUCAUGACGGUACCGUAGGAAUAAGCACCGGCUAACUACGUGCCAGCCGCCGCGGUAACAC
rnacentral:rRNA from 1 species